rnacentral:rRNA from 1 species
UACGUAGGAUGCAAGCGUUGUCCGGAUUUACUGGGCGUAAAGCGCGCGCAGGCGGCUCUCUAAGUAAGUCGUGAAAUAUCCCGGCUCAACCGGGAGGGUGCGAUGUAGACUAGGGAGCUAGAGGUCGGUAGAGGGGGGUGGAAUUGCUGGUGUAGCGGUGAAAUGCGUAGAGAUCAGCAGGAACACCCGUGGCGAAGGCGGCCCCCUGGGCCGUACCUGACGCUGAGGCGCGAAGGCUAGGGGAGCGAACGGG